CUUACAAGGUGUUGUCAUAUUUUAGGUCUAUCAUAUGCAAGUCACACAGUUGGUUUCACGCCACCAACUUCACUGACUAGAGCCGGAAUGUCUUACUACAAUUCCCCAGGUCUUCACGUGCAGCAUAUGGGAGCAUCGCACGGUAUCACAAGGCCUUCACCACGGAGAAGCAACAGUCCUGACAAAUUCAAACGGCCCACACCGCCCCCGUCUCCCAACACACAGACCCCAGUCCAGCCGCCGCCGCCUCCGCCUCCGCCGCCCAUGCAGCCCGCGGUGCCCUCAGCAGCUGCCUCGCAGCCCGCCCCUUCUCAGCAUUCGGUGCACCCCCCCUCCCAGCCUUAAUGCAUGUGCUUAGUCUGAAUCUCACGUUGGGACUCGUACAGUGGAGCCGUCUACUCAACGCCAAAGGCUUCCUUCCUUCCCCGGCAUAUUUGGAUCUGACUUAUUUGCACUGAGGUUAUCUAGGCUUCACUAUUAAUUGUGUUGUAAAUGUUUGUCGGAAACGCAGCCAGUGUUGUGGGUUACAACACUAAACAGACGACUUUUUCCAUCAGUGUUUUACUUGAAUCUACAUGUACGUCCAUUCCCUGGCUGGGACAGUUGCUAUUCAAUAUUGGUAAUUCGGCAGCAGUGUGCAGUUUUUCGCUUGGCCCCAGAGCUUCAUUUUUUUGGCUUUUAGGUUUGUAAAAUAAAAAGGGAUAUCUUUUUUAUAUUUUUUUCCCAUGAAUUUGCAGAAAAUUACUGAGCUGUUAUUACCACCCCACCCUCAUAAUGGUGUUUACCAAACAUACCAAUAAUUCAGCACUACAAUUCAGACCUUUGAAAAUCUAGCUUUCAGGGUAGAAUGGAAAGUUAGAUGGAUCAGUGCCCAAGACAAUAUACUGUUUAAUAGAGCUUUCUACAGAUACACUUUUUAUAAGGUUAUUUUCAGUAUAUAUCAAAAUCCAUGUCUCUUGUACAAAAGAUAGCCUACAGUAAUGGAUCACAUGGCUGUACCUUUUCCACCUACAUGGGAUGGAUAAUUAUUGUGUAUUAAGGUGUGAUUCUUUCUUUAUCCUUAAUGUUAAUCUACCCAAACUGGCCCUUUCUAACAUGAGUCCAUAAAUGUUGACCUCCCCACCAGUGGUUGCGAUGGCUGGUUAGAACAUGCUAUUUGAUUUCUGCUGCAGAAGGCAAUGUGACGAUUAUAACAAAAACAGCUAUUUCCCCUUCCCAUUCUUUGUGUUCCCCUAAAAUAGAGUUUGAACAAAUAUUUUAAA